rnacentral:tRNA from 1 species
GGGUGAGUGGUGAACAGGUAACACAGUGGCAAGCGCCUCAAAAAGCAGGUUCGAAUCCUGCCUCACCUGA